AUACGGAGGAUCCGAGCGUUAUCCGGAUUUAUUGGGUUUAAAGGGUGCGCAGGCGGCCAUUUAAGUCAGCGGUUAAAUCGUGGGGCUCAACCCCAUUCUGCCGUUGAUACUGGGUGGCUUGAUUGCGGUCGAGGUUGGCGGAAUUCGUUGUGUAGCGGUGAAAUGCAUAGAUAUGACGAAGAACACCGAUUGCGUAGGCAGCUGACCAGACCGCAAAUGACGCUCAUGCACGAAAGCGCGGGGAUCGAACAGGAUUAGAUACCCUGGUAGUCCGCACAGUAAACGAUGAAUACUUGUUUUCGGCGAUAUAAUGUCGGAGGCAAAGCGAAAGCGAUAAGUAUUCCACCUGGGGAGUACGCCGGCAACGGUGAAACUCAAAGGAAUUGACGGGG
rnacentral:rRNA from 1 species